rnacentral:lncRNA from 1 species
AGGAGACAUAAAAAGAGAACCCUGCAAAAGUAAGAUACAAGUAUACUGAAAGGAAUGUCAGCUAAGAAACAGGACACCAUUGAGCAUAACUGUUGAAUUCAUACCCACAUGCAGUUAUGCUUUGUGGAGGGAGCAUGACAAUGAGCUUCUCAGAGCAGAAUAAAAAUGUGGCUGAUGUAGAACGUGACCGGACAGUUUGGCACCAGAUAUAACAUGACUCCUUUUUGGGUUUCACACCACAAGUCGUCCUACACAGGUAAAGCACCUAAUGUGAGGAAGCCUGGGACUGCAAUUGUUCUUCCAUAAAAGAGGUAAUAAAUAGUAAUAAUAUGGCA